AAUCCAUGGUGAGGGCACCUUCUGAGUAAGUCUUUGUAUCUCUCCCAUGCAUCAUAGAGUGUUUCUAAAUCCAUCUGCACAAAAGAAGAGAUAUCAUUACGUAAUU
rfam:Gossypium arboreum cultivar AKA8401 contig_64802_1, whole genome shotgun sequence.